CCUACGGGGGGCUGCAGUGGGGAAUUUUGGACAAUGGGCGCAAGCCUGAUCCAGCCAUGCCGCGUGAGUGAAGAAGGCCUUCGGGUUGUAAAGCUCUUUCGGCCGGGAAGAAAUCGCAUUCUCUAAUAUAGGAUGUGGAUGACGGUACCGGACUAAGAAGCACCGGCUAACUACGUGCCAGCAGCCGCGGUAAUACGUAGGGUGCGAGCGUUAAUCGGAAUUACUGGGCGUAAAGCGUGCGCAGGCGGUUUUGUAAGACAGAUGUGAAAUCCCCGGGCUUAACCUGGGAACUGCGUUUGUGACUGCAAGGCUAGAGUACGGCAGAGGGGGGUGGAAUUCCUGGUGUAGCAGUGAAAUGCGUAGAUAUCAGGAGGAACACCGAUGGCGAAGGCAGCCCCCUGGGCCUGUACUGACGCUCAUGCACGAAAGCGUGGGGAGCAAACAGGAUUAGAUACCCCUGUAGUC
rnacentral:rRNA from 1 species